rnacentral:rRNA from 1 species
AUACGUAGGGGGCGAGCGUUGUCCGGAAUGAUUGGGCGUAAAGGGCGCGUAGGCGGCGCGGUAAGUCUGGAGUGAAAGUCCUGCUUUCAAGGUGGGAAUUGCUUUGGAUACUGCCGCGCUUGAGUGCAGGAGAGGUUAUCGGAAUUCCCGGUGUCGCGGUGAAAUGCGUAGAGAUCGGGAGGAACACCAGUGGCGAAGGCGGGUAACUGGACUGCAACUGACGCUGAGGCGCGAAAGUGUGGGGAGCAAACAGGAUUAGAUACCCUGGUAGUCCACACUGUAAACGAUGAAUGCUAGGUGUAAGAGGUAUCGACCCCUUUUGUGCCGGAGUCAACACAAUAAGCAUUCCGCCUGGGGAGUACGGCCGCAAGGUUGAAACUUAAAGGAAUUGGCGGGG